AUUGAACGCUGGCGGCAGGCCUAACACAUGCAAGUCGAGCGGAUGAAGGGUGCUUGCUUCUGGAUUCAGCGGCGGAAGGGUGAGUAAUGCCUAGGAAUAUGCCUCGUUGUGGGGGAUAACGUCUGGAAACGGGCGCUAAUACUGCAUACGUCCUGAGGGAGAAAGUGGGGGGUGGUCGGAACUCACGGUCGCAGAGGAGCCUAGGUCGGAUUUGCUAGUUGGUGGGGUAAAGGGCUACCAAGGCGACGAUCGGUAACUGGGCGGAGAGGAUGGUCAGGCACACUGGAGCUGAGACACGGUCCAGGGUCCUACGGGAGGCCGCAGUGGGGAACAUUAGACAAUGGGCGAAAGCCUGAUCCAGUCAGGCGGCGUGUGUGGAGAAGGUCUUCGGAUUGGAAAGCACUUUAAGUGGGGAGGAAGGGCAGUAAGUUAAUACCUUGCUGUAGUGACGUUACUAACAGAAUAAGCACCGGCUAACUUCGUG
rnacentral:rRNA from 1 species